AUCGAAACGCAAUACGCCACGGAAUUACUUCGGUAAUCGGAUGGUAUGGCGAGCUUUCGCCGUCCACGUUUCUCUUUCUUCAUGAAGACAAAAAACCGCGCUUGUUCAGUUGAUGCUGGACCGGUUCCCGAAUGGGCCCGUAGCUCAGUUGGUUAGAGCACACGCAUGAUAAGGCGUGGG
rnacentral:misc_RNA from 1 species